AGCUCCAAUAGCGUAUAUUAAAGUUGUUGUGGUUAAAAAGCUCGUAGUUGGAUCUCAGGGUCGUUCGCGUCGGUCCCUUGCUUCAAUGGCUCGGGUACUGCGCGGUGUCGUCCCCCUUGCCAGACCUCUCAAAAAGGUUGCUCUUGACUGAGUGGCCUGCUCGAGUGGCUGGAGAGUUUACUUUGAAAAAAUUAGAGUGUUCAAAGCAGGCACUGCCCGCCUGUAUAAUGGUGCAUGGAAUAAUGGAAUAGGACCCCGGAUCCUAUUUUGCUGGUUUUUGGAGCUCAGGGGUAAUGAUUAAGAGGAACAGGGCGGGGGCAUCCGUAUUACGGCGUUAGAGGUGAAAUUCUUGGAUCGUCGUAAGACGCCCUACAGCGAAAGCAUUUGCCAAGUAUGUUU
rnacentral:rRNA from 1 species